GGGUGGCGCGGGGCGCUGCGGGCUGGGGCUCAGCUUCCCGGCGCGAGGCCGCGCGUCCUUCCCUGUGAAGUCUCCGCGCGGCCGGGCCCAGCGUGAGUAUUCUCCACUCGCUCUCCUCCCCCUGCAGGCGGGAGCGCCCGUUUACUCGAGGCUUCUAAUGUGAGGAAAAACACGGAAUGACAAGUGUGGGAAAGAGCAAGCACUAAAUUACUGUCAGAAAAAUAAACGGAGUAGCACAGUGGUGCUCGGUGAUUUACGGGGGCAAUUAGUCACCACCCCACGGCGCUGCUGAGGACAGCACGGCAGCAGACGCGUCAGGCCCACGAGGAAGAAGAGGCUCGGCGCUGCUCUCCAGACAACUUUUCAAACAACAAGAGAGGAUCUUUGAGCACAUUAGGUUCCGUGUCUUCAUUCUGGGUGCCUGCUCUCCACAUUAUUUCACCAACUUAAUACAUAAACGUAUUUUUAGCACAAUGUGAACCUGUUCUCUGUGUGUUAAAAAGCCUCCAACUGCAGCUUUUUUCUCUCCCACUGUCCAAAGUGAAGUUUCCCCCCAUCCCUUAAAAAACAAAACAUAAAAACCUUUCCUCACUCCCAAAUCGUCCCCCCUGGUGUGUGUCUUCCAUCUGUCUCAUUAUUUCUUGCAUCUUGCCACCAUGUUCUACCUUUGCUCCGAGCCACCGGGUGCUAAGGAAUUUGGUCUGCAACUCCUCAGGGAAAGUUUGGUGGUACAAGGUCAGAAAACACUAGAUAAAUGAAAAAGGCACACAAACUUCUCGAUAUUUGUGAACAUGUUCUUUCACACACUAUAUGUAAUAUCAUGUAUAUGUAGCAUAGCAAAAUAAAUCUGUUCGGGUGUAA